CCUACGGGAGGCAGCAGUAGGGAAUCUUCCACAAUGGACGAAAGUCUGAUGCAGCAACGCCGCGUGAGUGAAGAAGGGUUUCGGCUCGUAAAGCUCUGUUGGUAGUGAAGAAAGAUAGAGGUAGUAACUGGCCUUUAUUUGACGGUAAUUACUUAGAAAGUCACGGCUAACUACGGGCCAGCAGCCGCGGUAAUACGUAGGUGGCAAGCGUUGUCCGGAUUUAUUUGGAGUAAAGCGAGUGCAGGCGGUUCAAUAAGUCUGAUGUGAAAGACUUCGGCUCAACCGGAGAAUUGCAUCAGAAACUGUUGAACUUGAGUGCAGAAGAGGAGAGUGGAACUCCAUGUGUAGCGGUGGAAUGCGUAGAUAUAUGGAAGAACACCAGUGGCGAAGGCGGCUCUCUGGUCUGCAACUGACGCUGAGGCUCGAAAGCAUGGGUAGCGAACAGGAUUAGAUACCCUGGUAGUC
rnacentral:rRNA from 1 species